GGGCCGUUAGCUCAGCUGGUAGAGCAGGGGACUUUUAAUCCCAAGGUCGUUGGUUCGAGCCCAACACGGCCCA
rnacentral:tRNA from 1 species